GAUGAACGCUGGCGGCGUGCCUAAUACAUGCAAGUCGAGCGAACGGAUGAGAAGCUUGCUUCUCUGAUGUUAGCGGCGGACGGGUGAGUAACACGUGGAUAACCUACCUAUAAGACUGGGAUAACCUCGGGAAACCGGAGCUAAUACCGGAUAAUAUUUUGAACCGCAUGGUUCAAAAGUGAAAGACGGUUUUGCUGUCACUUAUAGAUGGAUCUGCGCUGCAUUAGCUAGUUGGUAAGGUAACGGCUUACCAAGGCAACGAUGCAUAGCCGACCUGAGAGGGUGAUCGGCCACACUGGAACUGAGACACGGUCCAGACUCCUACGGGAGGCAGCAGUAGGGAAUCUUCCGCAAUGGGCGAAAGCUUGACGGAGCAACGCCGCGCGAGUGAUGAAGGUCUUCGGAUCGUAAAACUCUGUUAUUAGGGAAGAACAUAUGUGUAAGUAACUGUGCACAUCUUGACGGUACCUAAUCAGAAAGCCACGGCUAACUACGUG
rnacentral:rRNA from 1 species